rnacentral:rRNA from 1 species
GAGAACCAACAGGGAUUGCCCUAGUAACGGCGAGUGAAGCGGCAACAGCUCAAAUUUGAAAUCUGGCCUUCGGGUCCGAGUUGUAAUUUGUAGAGGAUGCUUUUGGUGCGGUACCUUCCGAGUUCCCUGGAACGGGACGCCAUAGAGGGUGAGAGCCCCGUCUGGUUGGAUACCAAUCCUCUGUAAAGCUCCUUCGACGAGUCGAGUAGUUUGGGAAUGCUGCUCUAAAUGGGAGGUAUAUGUCUUCUAAAGCUAAAUACCGGCCAGAGACCGAUAGCGCACAAGUAGAGUGAUCGAAAGAUGAAAAGCACUUUGAAAAGAGAGUUAAAAAGUACGUGAAAUUGUUGAAAGGGAAGCGCUUGUGACCAGACUUGGGCUUGGUUGAUCAUCCUGGGUUCUCCCUGGUGCACUCUUCCAGUCCAGGCCAGCAUCAGUUUGUUUCGGGGGAUAAAGGCUUCGGGAAUGUGGCUCCCUCGGGAGUGUUAUAGCCCGUUGUGUAAUACCCUGAAGCAGACUGAGGUUCGCGCUCUGCAAGGAUGCUGGCGUAAUGGUCAUCAGCGACCCGUCUUGAAACACGGACCAAGGAGUCGUCUUCGUAUGCGAGUGUUCGGGUGUUAAACCCCUACGCGUAAUGAAAGUGAACGCAGGUGAGAGCUUCGGCGCAUCAUCGACCGAUCCUGAUGUUCUCGGAUGGAUUUGAGUAAGAGCAUACGGGGCCGGACCCGAAAGAAGUGAACUAUGCCUGUAUAGGGUGA